UGGUCGAAAUUUGCACUAUUAAUUUUUAUUGUAUUUUGCUUUUCACCAUGGUCCAUAUAACCUAUACACCAAGUUUGAAUGAAAUACCAUCAACCAGAACGUGCUCAAAUAUGAGUGAGUACUGUCACUCUAAUUACAACCACCCUGUAUUUGACUGGACACUAUCAAACUGUACAAGUAAACCUAUCAGUCAAUGAGUAUUCCUGGCUCCCAUUCAUAUAACAUAGUCAACUGAAUGCAAUCAUGAUACUACUCAAAUUCAAAACUACUCUGGCAUUUUGGCAUAAUACAAAAACAGUUAGGGAAUCUGUAUUAUCUCAUUAAAUUCAUCAAUGGCUACACAUGCAAAUGCCACAUAGAUCAAUUGAGGAACACAAAUGUUCUAAAAAAGUUGUAUCAUUUGCACCAAAUACUAAGCCAAAUAAAGAUAAGAACUUAUAUCUUCAGGGACAUCAAUGGUCCCUUAUUAUGAAUAUGUUCAAUUUCAACAUUUCCAAAGUGAGUCAUCACCUCAGCCAAAUGUGUAAUCAGAAGUCACCCAACUACCUCAGAUCCAAGAACUAGCAAGACAUUCAAAUUGCACACAUCAUCUUUCAGCACGUUUACAAGACUUUAUUAUUAUUUAAAUAAUAAAAAUGUCAAAAUUGUAAACUAUGUUUAGUAUGGGAGAAUUGUUGUAACCAUAAGGCUGAUAGAAUAUGUCUUCAAUUACUCUAGCCUUAAUUACCUCCAGUAGUAUCUCCCUUUGUUUUCUUUUUCUUUUCUGUGCUCUCUGUGAUCAUAUUCUAAC
rnacentral:lncRNA from 1 species